CUUCUGAUGGCAUUGGUUAUUGCAAGAAACCAGUAAGUAUCUGCUGUAUGCUAUGUCUACAUAAAAUGAUUUCUGUCACCUUAAAUAGAUCACUCUAGAACUUCAUGUAUAAAGGAACCACAUUGUAUGUGUAUAUACUAUAAGGUCUGGCAAAUAUUUGAGAUUCAUCCACAUUUUAUAUUCACUCAUCAAUAGUUGUAAACACAUUCUUAUGUGAAGUAAUGGAAAAGGUGGAGGCU